UAGAAUAUAGAACACUUCGGGCCUGGAGUAGUAAACAAAAAGUCUCCCCUGUAAUCUCCGACUAUGGUCAGGGACAGAGCUGGAAAGGAUAACACAGGCUAAAUAAUACAAUACUAAUGGAUUUGAUUUGAUUUGAUUAUAAUUUGGUAACUACAAGCUAUGAGCGCAUCUGUAGUGGUUAAUAAUAAAACUAUGAAUUAUAGACACGACAAAUGACGCAUUAAACCUUCAGCCACUAGAUAACCGUCUCUCUCUGGGCCAGCAAAUUGCCCCUCCCCUUGAGUGUUUAUGGGAAAUGUGUGGGUGUUUCCUCUCACACUGAAAUGUUCUGUGAGGGUUUGAUACAUGUUCUGAACCUCGGCGUCUAGAACACUGGAAACUGAAGCAACAGACAAACUGUCGUCGCCUCAACAGAGAGGAUUUCCUGUGAAAAGGGUCUGGUCAGGUUACCAUAGCCAUGGGCUCUAUCUGUGAACAGCUAUAUCUUCUGAGCUUGCACAAUAACAUGCAAAAGUGAACUGCUGUGUUUUUUUGCUGGGCUAUGCUAGUCAAAUAAUCUAUUAAUGUUUCUGCUUAAUAUUAUUACAAAGUAACAAUAAUUGUACUCGACUACAGCUUUUGCCUCCCCAACCCACCUCAGCAUCACUAUUAACCACGUUGUCCAUAUUGACUUGUCACACAUGUAUAAGUUGCCUGACCAAGGACCUAUUGGACUUGUUUUCAUUGACUUGGUUAUUUUGUCCAGACUAGCUUGUUUAUUGUUAAGCUUAAUGGAGGGCUAGUGUCUUAGUUUGGCUACUUGGCCCAUUGCAGCCAGCAUAAAAAUGAUUCAAUAGUGGUUUGAUUUCACAAACUUGGGGGCUUAGGGCACAGUGUUGUUACCUGGCUGUCACCAAUGACGGCAAGUUAGGGAAAUGUGGAUGCUGCUAUGCAGGGUGCUUUAUUUGCAUGCCAUAACUGCAGUUUUUGUCAAGAGAAGGGGGAGGCGCAAGGGCUCAUGUGGUCUUGCAGAAUUAGAAUCCAAAUGAAUUUGGCAGGCAUAGUUACACCACGCUUUUAAUUGAAAUGUGGUGCCAUAAUUAAUACCUUAAAAAAACCUAAAAUAUAAAAUGACAUAAGGGCAGGUGCUUGAGGGCCACCUAUGUGCACUGCUGACUUAUUUCACUCCAGGAAAUCACCACAUCUUUUGCCCAGCUAUCUGUAUUGCUCUUAAUAGAUGACUUUGACCAGUUGCCAAUCAUGCAGAUGAGAACAUCUGUUACAUUUGACAUUUGCACAUCACAGCUCACACCCCUAACCUGAGGACACACCUAUUUUGGAACCAUGCUGUACAUGAAAAUUAUAUGUCCAUCCAUUAUGUGGAAGUGGUUUGUCUUAGGCCUUAGCCUUAGAACUUCAACGGUGUGUAUUUCUCAGAAGUGACUGUGGUGUGAGUUGUACGUGCUCAAUGCAGCGUAUCACAAGUGCAUGCUGUUUCACUCUCUCUCAGCUUUGGACUUGUGUGUUAACCUGUUCACAUUUAUUUCAUUUUUUUUUUUUACUCUUGGGUUCUAUUUUAAUUUGAACUGCGUAAAUACACUCAGCUAAACGUUAUGUCACAGAGUACCGGUUAAACAGGGAUUGUGGUUUUGAGUUUUGCAUGGCACUCAGAAGGCCAGCAAAGUUAAACAUAUUUUUUGAGCCUGUAGGUCUCGGACUGCAACCUGUUGUGACUAUUGUCUGUGGCAGCUUGGUGGUGGUAUUUUUUUAGGGAAGGUGUGCAUGGCGUGUAAGCUUCAUGUAUUUAAAGGAAAUGUUUGGUCAUGGGGUUCCAGUUAUUUUGGGAAAAACCGGGGUGACUGUACCACUAGGGGCUUAUGUACAGGGGG
ensembl:lncRNA